rnacentral:rRNA from 1 species
UGAAAGGCUAAACAAAUCUGGAAAUAGCUGGUUCUCUCCGAAAACUAUUUAGGUAGUGCCUCAUAUAUUACCUUUGGGGGUAGAGCACUGUUAUGGCUAGGGGGUCGUCAAGAUUUACCAAACCAUUGCAAACUCCGAAUACCAAAGAGUGCAAGUAUGGGAGACAGACAUCGGGUGCUAACGUUCGGUGUCGAAAGGGAAACAACCCAGACCUUCAGCUAAGGUCCCAAAGAUACAGUUAAGUGGUAAACGAAGUGGGAAGGCAUAGACAGUCAGGAAGUUGGCUUAGAAGCAGCCAUCCUUUAAAGAAAGCGUAAUAGCUCACUGAUCGAGUCGUCCUGCGCGGAAGAUGUAACGGGGCUAAACUGUACACCGAAGCUAAGGAUUUGCAAUUUAAUUGCAAGUGGUAGGAGAG